rnacentral:lncRNA from 1 species
CACUAGGGUGGAGCCCAAGAAGAAGCCACGGAAGGGAAGGUGAAGCAGGCUUGGGAGAAUUCUGAGUCCUAAGGAAGGCUGGACAGUGAUCCAUCAUGUUUUUCCCUCUCUGGUGCCGGUAAAUGAGAAGGAGCAAAUGGACUCCUCAUCGAACGGCCACAGGACACCAGCUGCAGUCCAGAAUGCCUGCUGCCAGCCUCCACAGCUGGCGCAUCUAAGGUCUUCAAGUGGAUCUCCCCAUCAGAAGGCAGGACAAGGUCCUCAGGUUAGGUUCAUGAUAGAUCAAGGCAGCCCAGAGCUUCACACCAAGGUAUGGUGGUGGUGGCUGAAAUUUUCAAACAUACCUUGCUCUUGAGGCCAUUGGUAUGGGUGCCAAGGAAGCUCUAGGGCACUGAAAUGCUUUAUGAACUGAACAGGUCAGACAGCACUGAAAGCUCUCGGUCUGCCUCAGUGCCCGAGUGACACCACUAGUCAACCUCCUAGCUUACCUGCAAAGCCCUUCACACCAUUCACCAGCAAAAACUGAAAGAUAGCUGGAACCCAGCGGCCUGGGGCUUGUGAGGUCUAGGGAGGGGGCACAUGAUGCUGUGGGGGAAGAAUCUCAGGAGGAAAGCCUGGUAAUGAAGAUGAGCUCCAAAUGAAGGCAUGGCAUUGGCUGGUCAGGAAUGGGCAAACAGAGAAACUGGUCAGGAACAGUGGCUAGACAGUGCAGCCGACAAAGCAAGUCCGUUCCCUGUCCCGAGGAUGCUCCAGGGACAGCCCAUUGCCUCCAUUCAUAUAAUGUGUCUGUAACAACUAGGAAAUAUUCUCUCAUUAUCAUAGUUUGAAUAUGAUUGGCUCAGGGAGUGACACUAUUUGGAGGUGUGGCCUUGUUGGAGUAGGUGUGUCACUGUGGGCAUGGAUUUAAGACCCUUGUCCUAGCUUCCUGAAAGUGAGCAUUCUGCUAGCAGCCUUCAGAUGAAGAUGUAGAACUCUCAGCUCCUCCUGUAUCAUGCCUGCCUUGGUGAUAACGGACUGAACUUCUGAACCUCUAAGCCAGCCCCAAUUAAAUGUUGUCCUUAAAAGAGU